AUUGAACGCUAGCGGGAUGCUUUACACAUGCCAGUCGAACGUGUGGCGGACGGGUGAGUAAUAUAUCGGAACGUCCCCAGUAGCGGGGGAUAACUACUCGAAAGAGUGGCUAAUCCCGCAUACUAUUGGGGCGGCGGCUAUCGGAUUAGCUAGUUGGUGGGGUAAAGGGUCACCAAGGCAACGAGCCGUAGCUGGUUUGAGAGGACGACUAGCCACACUGGGACUGAGAAACGGCCCAGACGCCUACGGGAGGCAGCAGUGGGGAAUGUUGGACAAUGGGGGAAACCCUGAUCCAGCCAUCCCGCGUGUAUGAGAAGGCCUGCGGGUUGUAAAGUACUUUUGGCAGAGAAGCGGUAUCUGCAGAAUAAGCACCGGCUAACUACGUGCCAGCAGCCGCGGUAAUUC
rnacentral:rRNA from 1 species